rnacentral:rRNA from 1 species
AUUGAACGCUGGCGGCAGGCCUAACACAUGCAAGUCGAACGAGUGGCGGAGGGGUGAGUAAUGUCUGGGAAACUGCCUGAUGGAGGGGGAUAAAUAGUGGAAACGGUCGCUAAUACCGCAUCCCAUCGGAUGUGCCCAGAUGGGAUUAGCUAGUAGGUGGGGUAAAGGCUCACCUAGGCGACGAUCCCUAGCUGGUUUGAGAGGAUGACCAGCCACACUGGAACUGAGACACGGUACAGACGCCUACGGGAGGCAGCAGUGGGGAAUAUUGCACAAUGGGCGCAAGCCUGAUGCAGCCAUGCCGCGUGUAUGAAGAAGGCCUUCGGGUUGUAAAGUACUUUCAGCGGGGAGGCGUUACCCGCAGAAGAAGCACCGGCUAACUCCGUGCCAGCAGCCGCGGUAAUUC